GUAAUGGGAACAUUGUCUUCCAAGUUCCAAGCUCUCCCCCGGGAUUCCAGAAGGCCAACCGUGGCUGGCUGCCCAGUGAGAGCCCUACACAGAUUUCUGCAGUAUUGUCAGGAUUUUCACCAUAGGUACCAACUUGCUCCUCAUCUGGUGGACACAUAAAUCUCCGGUCUGCCCGGGAAGGAAUGUGCUGUAGUGGGAAGAACACGGGUCUUGGAGCGGGAAUCCUAGGACCUAGUGCACCCCGGCCACUAAUUCACUGUGAGUGAUUCCUCAUCUGUACAGUGGGAUGAAUAGCACCUGCUGCGCUUGCUCCGUGGGCUCAAAUGAAACAGAAUGCAAAAGCACUUUGAACGAGGGAAAAAAAGAUUUAUGCGUUGAACACCUGCUCCGUGCCAGAAUGUCCAGAAGAGGACCACUGAAGGAGAUGAAAACCAGAUGCCCUUGUGUCUGGCUCUGCGGCGUCAGCUUCCCUGCCUUUCCUGACAAUCCUUCACGCGUCGAGCAUUUACCCUGGGCCAGGCUCUGGGCAGGGACGGGGCAAGCGAAGAGGAAACAUCUCGGUCCUGGUUCACCAGGCCCUCCCAGGGCAGGAAUGUUGAUAGAGCAGCUUCCCAAUUCUUAUCUGGGCUACAGAAGAGUCUCGGAGCUUGUGGCCCGUCCCGCGACAGCGUUUGGGGCAAAGAAGCGCCCGGAAACUCUGUGUUUUGCUGAUAAACAUGGCAAGGCUUUCACUAUGGUGUUCCACCACCCUGGAGGAAAGCCUCCCCCCCACCCCAAGGAGCAAACUGUGCUGGGAAAAUUCUCCCUCGGGUCACCAAAUGGUUAGACAUGCGUCAAGGUGAGGACGGAGAAGGUUAUGAUGGGGGGCGGUGGGCACAGGCCAUAAAUGCUCUACACAGGUAGAGAAAGCACACCUUGGGUUUGAACCCAGGUUCAUCUCAACAUCAGAAGUCCCAGACACUACCUGGUUGCUGGCUUUCACUACAGCUCUUCACAGAAUUUUGUAAAGAGGGUCUACAGGUGCGUAUGGUGACGCCUCCCUUCGGCACACAGAGUCCUGUGCGACAACAGAGCCCCCAAGCUCAUGCUCUUCCUCGCCAGCCUCACUCUGGCUGGGGGGCCCCCCUCCCUUGUUCCCCUGUGCCGAGUUCCUUUCCCUCUGCUAUGGAGGAGGGCGGCGGGGUGUGUGGGACCCCCAGGACAGCCCAGCUGUUGUUUUAAGAUCCAUUUAUUUUAAUAAAAGUUAAAUCUCCCCCA
rnacentral:lncRNA from 1 species